GGCAGCUUUUCCUCUGCACAGGUUUUGAUAAAUCUCCCCCAAUGUUUUUUCCAUUCAGGAACAAAUAUUUUGAAUAGACUUUCCCAUAGUUACUCACAAAAGCUCAAUAAAAUCUGGUGACUGGGCUAGCCAGGGAAGAUGCUGAACAUCAUGCUCCUCGAUACAAGAUUGCAUCACUACCUGGAAACAUAGUCUUGGACCAUGGGAUGGAGUUGAACACUUAGAAUUUUCAGGUUUUAUCUUCAAGUCACAGCUGGCGAUGGAAAAUGGCCUACGAUCAGGGAAGCUGAAGGCACAAAUGCCCGUUGGGGACUCGGCAGCUGGCAUACUGAUUCAGCG